rnacentral:rRNA from 1 species
AACGCUAGCUACAGGCUUAACACAUGCAAGUCGAGGGGCAGCAUUUUAGUUUGCUUGCAAACUAAAGAUGGCGACCGGCGCACGGGUGAGUAACACGUAUCCAACCUGCCGAUAACUCGGGGAUAGCCUUUCGAAAGAAAGAUUAAUAUCCGAUAGUAUAUUAAAACCGCAUGGUUUUACUAUUAAAGAAUUUCGGUUAUCGAUGGGGAUGCGUUCCAUUAGUUUGUUGGCGGGGUAACGGCCCACCAAGACUACGAUGGAUAGGGGUUCUGAGAGGAAGGUCCCCCACAUUGGAACUGAGACACGGUUCAAACUCCUACGGGAGGCAGCAGUGAGGAAUAUUGGUCAAUGGACGAGAGUCUGAACCAGCCAAGUAGCGUGAAGGAUGACUGCCCUAUGGGUUGUAAACUUCUUUUAUAUGGGAAUAAAGUAUUCCACGUGUGGGAUUUUGUAUGUACCAUAUGAAUAAGGAUCGGCUAACUCCGUGCCAGCAGCCGCGGUAAUACGGAGGAUCCGAGCGUUAUCCGGAUUUAUUGGGUUUAAAGGGAGCGUAGGUGGAUUGUUAAGUCAGUUGUGAAAGUUUGCGGCUCAACCGUAAAAUUGCAGUUGAAACUGGCAGUCUUGAGUACAGUAGAGGUGGGCGGAAUUCGUGGUGUAGCGGUGAAAUGCUUAGAUAUCACGAAGAACUCCGAUUG